GUCUUUGUAUCUUUAUAGGUCUAUAUAAGCUGUUUACUCUUGAAGCAAGAUCAAUUUGAUUAAUCUGUAUUGUAAAAAGUUGAUUUUGAAUCUGUAUUCGCUACCUCAAAUACACAUUUCUAGUAGUUUUGGGAUUUUUAUUCAUUUCAAGUUCUUCAAUAUGGUCCUCUCUCCUCUAGUUAUUUUACGGUUCCAUUUGUACUGGAUAUUUCGU
rnacentral:misc_RNA from 1 species